GCAUUGGUGGUUCCAUUGUAGAAUUCUCGCCUCCUACGCUGGAGACCCAGGUUCAAUUCCCGGCCAAUGCC
rnacentral:tRNA from 1 species